rnacentral:RNase_P_RNA from 1 species
CAAGCAGACCGGGCAGUCGCGGGGAAACAUGGGUUUCCACGAGGAAAGUCCGGGCUCCGCAGGGCAGGGUGCUGGGUAACGCCCAGUGGGGGUGACCCUAAGGAAAGUGCCACAGAAACAAACCACCCGGUUCUUUAGGGCCGGGAAAGGGUGCAACGGUGCGGUAAGAGCGCACCAGCGGCCGGGUGACCGGCCGGCUAGGUAAACCCCACCCGGAGCAAGACCAAAUAGGAGAGAGAAGAAGCGGCCCGCUGAUCUCUCGGGUUGGUCGCUGGAGGUACAGGGCAACCUGUAUCCUAGAUAGAUGACUGCCGCCCUAACAAGGCACAGAACCCGGCUUACAGGUCUGCUUGGAAC